rnacentral:lncRNA from 1 species
AACUGGGUCCAGCCAAUAUGCGAUAACGAAAUUCAUUGAAGGAAAGCACAAGGAGUUGCCUCCUACCUACAAGAAACUUGUUCUCCUUCAUCUCAAGAAGUCUGUUGCUGCUGGCAAGCUUGUCAAGGUCAAAAACUCCUUCAAACUUGCACCCACCAAAUCUGCACCCACCAAACCUGCCCCGGUUAAGGCUACUAUUGCUGUUCCUAAAAAGCCUAAGUCUGUUGCCAAACCCACCGCCAAGGCCGCCACCAAGUCCAAGGCUGCUCCUAAGAAGAAGGCUGUUGCUAAGCCCAAAUCUAAGACUGCUGCUGCAGCUGCCAAGCCUGCUAAGGCAGCAGCCAAGAAGGUUGUUGCCAAGUCUGCCAAGAAGACUCCUGUAAAAGCCGUGAAGAAGGCC